UUUAAGGUCUAACCUGCCCAAUGAGGAUUUAAAUGGCCGCAGUAUUUUGACUGUGCAAAGGUAGCAUAAUUAUUAGUUUUUUAAUUGAAAGCUUGUAUGAAGGGUUGGACGAGAUGAAAUCUGUCUUUAUUUAAAUUAAAAUAUAAUUUAACUUUUAAGUAAAAAGGCUUAAAUGUUUAUAAAAGACGAGAAGACCCUAUAGAUCUUUAUUUAAUUAAAGUUUUAAUAAUUUAGGAUUAUUUUAAUUUAAAGUUUUAAUUAAAUUUUAUUGGGGUAAUAUAAAGAUUAAAUAAAUUCUUUUUAUUUAUAACAUUGAUUUAUGAAUAAAUGAUCCAUUAAUAUUGAUUAUAAGAUUAAGUUACCUUAGGGAUAACAGCGUAAUUUUUUUGGAGAGCUCAUAUCGAUAAAAAAGUUUGCGACCUCGAUGUUGGAUUAAAAAUUAGCUUGGGUGCAGAAGCUCAAGAUUUUGGUCUGUUCGACCAUUAAAUUUUUACAUGAUCUGAGUUCAGACCGGCGUGAGCCAGGUCGGUUUCUAUCUUUAUUAAGAUAAAAUGUUUUAGUACGAAAGGACCAAAUAUUUAAUAUAAUUAUAUUUAUUUUUU
rnacentral:rRNA from 1 species